rnacentral:rRNA from 1 species
GGUGCCAGGUGUCUUCACCCGGUUCGUAAGAUGUUGGGUUAAGUCCCGCAACCAGCACAACCCUUAUUGUUAGUUCCCAUCAUUCAGUUGGGCACUCUAACAAGGCUGCCGGUGACAAACCGGAGGAAGGUGGGGAUGACGUCAAAUCAUCAUGCCCCUUAUGACCUGGGCUACACACGUGCUACAAUGGGAAGUACAACGAGUUGCGAAGUCGCGAGGCUAAGCUAAUCUCUUAAAGCUUCUCUCAGUUCGGAUUGCAGGCUGCAACUCGCCUGCAUGAAGCCGGAAUCGCUAGUAAUCGCGGAUCAGCACGCCGCGGUGAAUACGUUCCCGGGCCUUCUACACACCGCCCGUCACACCACGAGAGUUUGUAACACCCGAAGUCGUUGAGGUAACCUUUGGAGCCAGCCGCCUAAG